rnacentral:rRNA from 1 species
UACAGAGGUCCCGAGCGUUGUUCGGAUUCAUUGGGCGUAAAGGGUGCGUAGGCGGCGGGGCAAGUCUGAUGUGAAAUCCCCGGGCUCAACCCGGGAACUGCGUCCGAUACUGGAAGGCUUGAAUCCGGGAGAGGGAUGCGGAAUUCCAGGUGUAGCGGUGAAAUGCGUAGAUAUCUGGAGGAACACCGGUGGCGAAGGCGGCAUCCUGGACCGGCAUUGACGCUGAGGCGCGAAAGCCAGGGGAGCAAACGGG